AUACGGAGGGUGCAAGCGUUACUCGGAAUCACUGGGCGUAAAGCGCGCGCAGGCGGCCAUUUAAGUUGGAUGUGAAAGCCUACGGCUCAACCGUAGAACUGCAUCCAAAACUAUUUGGCUCGAGUGUGGGAGAGGAAGAUGGAAUUAGUUGUGUAGGGGUAAAAUCCGUAGAGAUAACUAGGAAUACCAAAAGCGAAGGCAAUCUUCUGGAACAUUACUGACGCUGAGGCGCGAAAGCGUGGGGAGCAAACAGGAUUAGAAACCCCGGUAGUCC
rnacentral:rRNA from 1 species